UUCUCUGUGACUUGUGACUUGCCUCCCAUCGAAUACAACCCCGAUGUACGUGGCUUCCAACCAUUCAACGACAACUUUCGUCUCUGUUUCUACAACACAACCCCAAACGCUUACACACUCUCUCUCAGAAUCGGAAACAGAGCUCAAGAGUCAACUCUCCGGUGGGUCUGGGAAGCAAACAGAGGCUCAUCGGUCAAAGAAAACCCGACGUUGACUUUGGGUGAAGACGGAGCACUGAAUUAGGAAGUCUCCUUGCCUCCUUUCAUCUUGUGUCUUCUACUUCUUCUUCUUCACUCUCUCCACCUCGUGUCUUCCUUGUAUCAAGGUUUCACGAACAUAUGCUUUAUCAUAUGCACCUGUUUUACAUCAGUUUACUUAGUGUGAAGUGUAAACUUUAUUUUUUAAUUAUGCUGUGACUUGUGAUUUAUAAACUUUGAAUUUUUAUUUGAAGCAAAACAAUGUAAGGUUCUGGAUUCAUAUUUUAUUUGACAGGUA